rnacentral:rRNA from 1 species
GAUAAACGCUGGCGGCGUGCCUAAUGCAUGCAAGUCGAACGGGCGUUCUUUCGGGGACGUGACCGUGGCGGACGGGUGAGGAGCACGUAGCUGACCUGCCCUGGUGUGGGGGAUAUCCUCCGGAAACGGAGUGUAAUACCGCAUGUGCUUCAUUGGAGGGAUCCGGUGAAGGAAAGCCGAGAGGCGUACCAGGAGGGGCUGCGUCCGAUUAGCUAGUUGGUGGGGUAACGCUCACCAAGGCGAUGAUCGGUAGCUGGUCUGAGAGGACGAUCAGCCACACGGGGACUGAGACACCGGCCCCGACUCCUACGGGAGGCAGCAGCAAGGAAUUUUCCACAAUGGGCGCAAGCCUGAUGGAGCAACGCCGCGUGGGGAUGACGCAC